rnacentral:ribozyme from 1 species
UUUUUUUUUUUUUUUUUUUUUUUUUUUUUUUUUUUUUUUUUUUUUUUUUUUUUUUUUUGAUAGAACUCUGUAACGAACGUGCAUGCAAAAGGAAAAAGCUUGUUAUGUGAAAAUAAAAGCAAA